rnacentral:rRNA from 1 species
UACAGAGGUCUCAAGCGUUGUUCGGAUUCAUUGGGCGUAAAGGGUGCGUAGGCGGCGCGGUAAGUCGGGUGUGAAAUCUUGGAGCUUAACUCCAGAACUGCCUUUGAUACUGGCGAUCUCGAGUCCGGGAGAGGUGAGUGGAACUGCGAGUGUAGAGGUGAAAUUCGUAGAUAUUCGCAAGAACACCAGUGGCGAAGGCGGCUCACUGGCCCGGUACUGACGCUGAGGAGCGAAAGCGUGGGGAGCGAACAGG